rnacentral:lncRNA from 1 species
CUAGAUCCUCCAGGAUGCAAAGACUGAUGGGAGAAUGGAGGAGGAAGCAACAUGGCAGGGCAGACUGAACAUGAUGGGGCUGGGAAUGAAGUAAGCGUACUGCCUUUGAGUAGAUAAUCAUUGUGCAGAGAGAAGACUGGAGACAGCUGACCCUACCUUCUGGUUUCUGACAGAAUGAGGUCCACCACAAAACUGGAGGCUAUUGGAGGGAAGAGCAGUCCUGACUCCAGUCUAUUCUUACAGUAGAAUCAGGCCUGGAGGGAAAGGCUACAGCAUGCUGGUCCUCACCUGCAACCUGCCCUGGCUUGUCCACCUGCAUUGCAGGGCUCUCUUGUCUACAAUCACCAAGACACUGGGAAGAAAAAUUCUCCCCACUCUUGAAGACAACAGACCAUGCAAGAAUCCCUGCUCAGAUCCCUGCAGAGACAGCUGUGGAAGCUGUGAGGAGAGGCUGCUGCAGUCCUAGAAGCCUUCCUGAAAGAGCUGCAGUCAAGUUCAAGGGCGUCAUGCCCUGCUCACCAGGGUUAUCCUCCACUGUCUCUUUUUUUCUCUUUUAAAUAUGAUAUCUCCUGUAAGAAAUAAUCUGGGCAAAGCCUCGCCAAUCAAAAAGCAUUUAGAUGACAAAUCAGAACAUGGCUUCUUUUCAGAAAAUAGAUGUCACCCUUUUCAUCCUAAAUCAAGGCAGCUAAAGAUGAACUUCCAUCUUUCAACAUAGGUGUCUUGGACACUAUUCAUAGACUUGUCUCAUCAUAGCUGACAUAAGUGGAAAGAAUUGUGAAGCCAGAGCUGGUCAUAGAAACUUAGAUACCACCAAGCUAUCUGGAAGUUUUACAUUGUAACUGUGGCUUAGAAUAAAGAGGCAAAGAACUUUAGAGCGAUAAAGAGG